rnacentral:rRNA from 1 species
AGGUUAAGGAACUCGGCAAUCUAACCCCGUAACUUUGGGAGAAGGGGUGCCCUCUAUUUGAGGGUGACAUUAAAUUGGUCCAAGCGACUGUUUAGCAAAAACAUAGGUCUCUGCUAAAGCGUAAGCUGAAGUAUAGGGGCUGAUACCUGCCCAGUGCCGGAAGGUUAAAGGGAGGUGUGCAAGCACCGAACUGAAGCCCCAGUGAACGGCGGCCGUAACUAUAACGGUCCUAAGGUAGCGAAAUCCCUUGUCGGGUAAGUUCCGACCCGCACGAAUGGUGUAACAACUUGGACGCUGUCUUAACGAAGGACGCGGCGAAAUUGAAAUACCCGUGCAGAUGCGGGUUACCCGCGACUGGACAAAAAGACCCCGUGGAGCUUUACUACAACUUGGCACUGAGCCUGGGCUUAUCAUGUGUAGCAUAGGUGGGAGGCUUUGAAGCCGGGGCGCCAGCCUCGGUGGAGCCAUCAUUGAAAUACCACUCUUGGUGAGUUUAGGCUCUAACCUUAGAUCAAGCUAGGGGACAGUGUCUGGUGGGUAGUUUGACUGGGGCGGUCGCCUCCUAAAAGGUAACGGAGGCGCCCAAAGGUCCCCUCAGGGUGGAUGGAAACCACCCAUAGAGUGCAUUGGCAUAAGGGGGCUUGACUGUGAGACUUACAAGUCGAGCAGGGACGAAAGUCGGGCAAAGUGAUCCUACGGUUCCGAGUGGAAGGGCCGUGGCUUAACGGAUAAAAGCUACCCCGGGGAUAACAGGCUUAUCUUGCCCAAGAGUUCACAUCGACGGCAAGGUUUGGCACCUCGAUGUCGGCUCGUCGCAUCCUGGGGCUGAAGCAGGUCCCAAGGGUCCGGCUGUUCGCCGGUUAAAGCGGCACGCGAGCUGGGUUCAGACCGUCGUGAGACAGGUCGGUCUCUAUCCGUCGUGGGCGUCCGGAGAUUUGAGGGGAGCUCUCUCCAGUACGAGAGGGCCGAGAGGGACAGACCUCUGGUGUUCCAGUUGUUCCGCCAGGGGCAUUGCUGGGUAGCUAUGUCUGGUCAGGAUAAGCGCUGAAAGCAUCUAAGUGCGAAGCCUACCCCAAGAUAAUAUCUCCCAUCCCGACUUCGGUCGGGAGUAAGGCCACAAGUAGACUACUUGCUAUAUAGGCCGCAGGUGUAAGCGCAGUAAUGCGUUCAGCUGAGCGGUACUAAUGGCCGAGGGCUUGGCCU